UUUAAUAUUCAACCAAAAGGGAAUUUAUUUUGCAUUUGAUAUUCGAUUUCUAAAAUUAGUACUACUUGUUCAAAGAACCGUCAAAUUUAGAAAAAAAGCGUAUAGCGAAAUCGUGUAUAUCGAGUAUGGCGUAUAUCGGGGAAUACCUGUAUAGCCACACGAGGAAGGCGCUGCUUCGCGUUCACAUGAAAAUGUGAUAGUGUGAAAUCAAGUUUGCAAGCGGUAGGACGCGUCGGUGUGUGUCCGUUUUUUCUCUCGUGAAACCAGUACGGAAAAACUAUUUGAAAUCGUAACACACGCACGAACGGAAGUGAGCACGGACCACAACAGAAGCAAUAUUCAAUUGGUUGGAGUGCCGAAAACAGAACAGGAGAGGAAAGAAGGCAGGAACGAUCCGAUCCUCCAACGUGCUAGCGCCUGGUAGAGGAGAAGCGGCAGGAAGGUAGAGACGAACAUCCAGCUCGCUAGUGCAGCACGUGGGAGCAGCAAGAGGGAAGCAAGCAGGACGCGUACACACCAUUCGACGAAGGCAAAGCUGGAGGAAAGGAAGAACGAGGAGAGAAGGCAGGCAAGACGGGUACGUGUGUAUCCCGCACCGGUUUUUGGCAGUGUGAAAUGUGAGUAUUGAAAAGUGUAUGUGUGAGUAGAAGUAAAGAGGUAAAAUAAAGAGCGAAUGUGUGGAAUGGGAAAAUGAAAGAGAGUCUGUGUUUGUUUUGGGAGAGAGGAGAGAAUGAAAGAAAUUGAACAA